UUACGGCCAUAUCAGGUUAAAACACCGGUUCCCGUACGAUCAAGUUAAGCAACGUAGAGCCUGGUCAGUACCGAGAUAGGAGACCAUUUCGGAAUAUCAGAUGCUGUAGG